rnacentral:rRNA from 1 species
GACGAACGCUGGCGGCGUGCUUAACACAUGCAAGUCGAACGGAAAGGCCCUGCUUUUGUGGGGUGCUCGAGUGGCGAACGGGUGAGUAACACGUGAGUAACCUGCCCUUGACUUUGGGAUAACUUCAGGAAACUGGGGCUAAUACCGGAUAGGAGCUCCUGCUGCAUGGUGGGGGUUGGAAAGUUUCGGCGGUUGGGGAUGGACUCGCGGCUUAUCAGCUUGUUGGUGGGGUAGUGGCUUACCAAGGCUUUGACGGGUAGCCGGCCUGAGAGGGUGACCGGCCACAUUGGGACUGAGAUACGGCCCAGACUCCUACGGGAGGCAGCAGUGGGGAAUAUUGCACAAUGGGCGGAAGCCUGAUGCAGCAACGCCGCGUGCGGGAUGACGGCCUUCGGGUUGUAAACCGCUUUCGCCUGUGACGAAGCGUGAGUGGCGGUAAUGGGUAAAGAAGCACCGGCUAACUACGUA